rnacentral:rRNA from 1 species
GCAGUAGCCGCGGUAAUACGUAGGGUGCAAGCGUUAAUCGGAAUUACUGGGCGUAAAGCGUGCGCAGGCGGUUAUAUAAGUCAGAUUUGAAAUCCCCGGGCUCAACCUGGGAACUGCAUUUGAGACUGUAUGGCUAGAGUGUGUCAGGGGGGGGUAGAAUUCCACGUGUAGCAGUGAAAUGCGUAGAUAUGUGGAGGAAUACCGAUGGCGAAGGCAGCCCCCUGGGAUAACACUGACGCUCAUGCACGAAAGCGUGGGGAGCAAACAGGAUUAGAUACCCCUGUAGUCCCUGUCUCUUAUAC